rnacentral:rRNA from 1 species
UACGGGGGGGGCAAGCGUUGUUCGGAAUUACUGGGCGUAAAGGGUCUGUAGGUGGCUUGCUAAGUCAGACGUGAAAUCCCUCAGCUUAACUGGGGAACUGCGUCUGAGACUGGCGAGCUUGAGUGCAGGAGAGGAACGCGGAAUUCCAGGUGUAGCGGUGAAAUUCGUAGAUAUCGGGAGGAACACCGGUGGCGAAGGCGGCGACCUGGGUCGACACUGACGCUGAGGCGCGAAAGCGUGGGGAGCAAACAGG